rnacentral:rRNA from 1 species
ACGCUGGCGGCGUGCUUAACACAUGCAAGUCGAACGGAAAGGCCCUUCGGGGUACUCGAGUGGCGAACGGGUGAGUAACACGUGGGUGAUCUGCCCUGCACUUUGGGAUAAGCCUGGGAAACUGGGUCUAAUACCGAAUAGGACCGCGCUCUUCAUGGGGUGUGGUGGAAAGCUUUUGCGGUGUGGGAUGGGCCCGCGGCCUAUCAGCUUGUUGGUGGGGUAAUGGCCUACCAAGGCGACGACGGGUAGCCGGCCUGAGAGGGUGACCGGCCACACUGGGACUGAGAUACGGCCCAGACUCCUACGGGAGGCAGCAGUGGGGAAUAUUGCACAAUGGGCGCAAGCCUGAUGCAGCGACGCCGCGUGAGGGAUGACGGCCUUCGGGUUGUAAACCUCUUUCAAUAGGGACGAAGCGCAAGUGACGGUACCUAUAGAAGAAGGACCGGCCAACUACGUGCCAGCAGCCGCGGUAAUACGUAGGGUCCGAGCGUUGUCCGGAAUUACUGGGCGUAAAGAGCUCGUAGGUGGUUUGUCGCGUUGUUCGUGAAAACUCACAGCUUAACUGUGGGCGUGCGGGCGAUACGGGCAGACUAGAGUACUGCAGGGGAGACUGGAAUUCCUGGUGUAGCGGUGGAAUGCGCAGAUAUCAGGAGGAACACC